rnacentral:rRNA from 1 species
UACGUAGGGGGGCAAGCGUUGUCCGGAAUCAUUGGGCGUAAAGAGCGCGUAGGCGGUCCGGUAAGUCGGUUGUGAAAGUCAAGGGCUCAACCCUUGAAUGCCGACCGAUACUGUCGGGCUAGAGUCCGGAAGAGGCGAGUGGAAUUCCUGGUGUAGCGGUGGAAUGCGCAGAUAUCAGGAGGAACACCAAUAGCGAAGGCAGCUCGCUGGGACGUUACUGACACUGAGGCGCGAAAGCGUGGGGAGCGAACAGG